GAUGAACGCUGGCGGUAUGCUUAACACAUGCAAGUCGAACGGUCACUUCGGUGAUAGUUGCGGUCGGGUGAGUAACGCGUGAGAAUCUGUCCUCAGGUCGGGGACAACAGUUAGAAAUGACUGCUAAUACCGGAUGUGCCUUGGGGUGACAGAUUUAUUGCCUGAAAAAGAGCUCGCGUCAGAUUAGCUAGUAGGUGGUGGAAGAGACUACUUAGGCUCCGAUCUGUAGCUGGUCUGAGAGGACGAUCAGCCACACUGGAGCUGAGACACAGUCCAGACUACUACGGGAAGGAGCAGAGGGGGAUUUAGCGCAACGGGGGAGGGGCUGAAGGCGCAAUACCGGGUGAGGGACGAAGGCGUUUGAGUCGUAAAGCACUUUUAUAAAGGAAGAUGAUGACGGUACUUGAGGAAUAAGCAUCGGCUAACUCUGUG
rnacentral:rRNA from 1 species